GAUGAACGCUGGCGGCGUGCCUAAUACAUGCAAGUCGAGCGAACUGAUUAGAAGCUUGCUUCUAUGACGUUAGCGGCGGACGGGUGAGUAACACGUGGGCAACCUGCCUGUAAGACUGGGAUAACUUCGGGAAACCGAAGCUAAUACCGGAUAGGAUCUUCUCCUUCAUGGGAGAUGAUUGAAAGAUGGUUUCGGCUAUCACUUACAGAUGGGCCCGCGGUGCAGUAGCUAGUUGGUGAGGUAACGGCUCACCAAGGCAACGAUGCAUAGCCGACGGGAGAGGGUGAUCGGCCACACUGGGACUGAGACACGGCCCAGACUCCUACGGGAGUCAGCAGUAGGGAAUCUUCCGCAAUGGACGAAAGUCUGACGGAGCAACGCCGCGUGAGUGAUGAAGGCUUUCGGGUCGUAAAACUCUGUUGUUAGGGAAGAACAAGUACGAGAGUAACUGCUCGUACCUUGACGGUACCUAACCAGAAAGCCACGGCUAACUACGUGCCAGCCGCCGCCGUAAUAC
rnacentral:rRNA from 1 species